AAAACCUUCCAAAAAUACUAUGCGGUACGUACAACAUCGGCAAAAUGGACUGAGGAUGAAAUGACAGUAUGAGUAAACUCCAUGGAAAAGAAUGCAAGAGUAGCAUUAGGUGUUCGUUUUCAGAUAGCGUUAUUGACCACAAUAAGAACCUUCUUUGGAAAACGAUAACAGCAAACGUUAAUGCUGUAACUCUUUCCAAAACUCCACGACAAGACAAAGAUGUCCGAAAAUAAGUGGUUUGACCUUCAAACUUCUUCCAAAAACGUAGUUUCCGCGUGGAGGUUAGAAUGCCAAAAAAACGAGGGUGGCAAAGUCUGUGUUGCCAAACCUACAAAACGCCACUACAAAAUCAUCUCAAUUAUUGGGGAAGAAGCCGUAAAGGAUAUCGAAGGAGCCCAUAAUAUGGUUUUGUCCAACGGUAAAUGUAUUUUAUAUUGCUAUAAUAUAAAAGUACGAAACUUACUCAAAAUAUACAAGUGUUUUGGACUGAAACAUGAACGUUGUUUACUAAGUUUCAGAAGAUAGCAUCUGCGAAAUAUUACAACCCUGCACAAGUAUACUUGUAACUCCUGUACCGACGCUUCCUCAACCAUUAGAAUUGGUUCCUAACUCUCCUGUUUAAAUGCCCCUGAUAUCCACUGAAAUGAGCCCGGUCACUACUGCUUCGUAUUCGAGAGCCAGCUCUUUCGAAGAGCCACCGGCAAAGCAACAGAGAAGGGGAACCACGUAAACCGACGCUCAAAUAGUUGACUUGCAGAAGUCUAUAUUGGAUCAAAUCACAACAAUCUCUUCCACUCUUGUUGAAAU